CCUACGGGUGGCAGCAGUCGAGAAUCAUGCACAAUGGGGGAAACCCUGAUGGGGCGACGCCGCGUGGGGGAAUGAAGGUCUUCGGAGUGUAAACCCCUGUCAUGGGGGAGCAAAUUAAAAAGAUAGUACCACAAGAGGAAGAGACGGCUAACUCUGUGCCAGCAGCCGGUGUAAUACGGAGGUCUCAAGCGUUGUUCGGAAUCACUGGGCGUAAAGCGUGCGUAGGCUGUUUGGAAAGUCGUGGGUGAAAGGCGCGGGCUCAACCCGCGGACGGCACAUGAUACUGCGAGACUAGAGUAAUGGAGGGGGAACCGGAAUUCUCGGUGUAGCAGUGAAAUGCGUAGAUAUCGCGAGGAACACUCGUGGCGAAGGCGGGUUCCUGGACAUUAACUGACGCUGAGGCACGAAGGCCAGGGGAGCGAAAAGGAUUAGAUACCCGGGUAGUC
rnacentral:rRNA from 1 species